rnacentral:tRNA from 1 species
GCUCCGGUGGCACAGUGGUUAAUGCGCUCAGCUGCUAACUGAAAGAUCAGUGGUUCGAACCCAGCAGCUGCA